GUGUGUUCCAGGUAAAUCCGGUUCACUUUAACACUGAGGCGUGACGACGAGGCACUACGGUGCUGAAGCAACAAAUGCCCUGCUUCCAGGAAAAGCCUCUAAGCAUCAGGUAACAUCAAAUCGUACCCCAAACCGACACAGGUGGUCAGGUAGAGAAUACCAAGGCGCUUGAGAGAACUCGGGUGAAGGAACUAGGCAAAAUGGUGCCGUAACUUCGGGAGAAGGCACGCUGACACGUAGGUGAAGUGAUUUACUCAUGGAGCUGAAGUCAGUCGAAGAUACCAGCUGGCUGCAACUGUUUAUUAAAAACACAGCACUGUGCAAACACGAAAGUGGACGUAUACGGUGUGACGCCUGCCCGGUGCCGGAAGGUUAAUUGAUGGGGUCAGCGCAAGCGAAGCUCCUGAUCGAAGCCCCGGUAAACGGCGGCCGUAACUAUAACGGUCCUAAGGUAGCGAAAUUCCUUGUCGGGUAAGUUCCGACCUGCACGAAUGGCGUAAUGAUGGCCAGGCUGUCUCCACCCGAGACUCAGUGAAAUUGAACUCGCUGUGAAGAUGCAGUGUACCCGCGGCAAGACGGAAAGACCCCGUGAACCUUUACUAUAGCUUGACACUGAACAUUGAGCCUUGAUGUGUAGGAUAGGUGGGAGGCUUUGAAGUGUGGACGCCAGUCUGCAUGGAGCCGACCUUGAAAUACCACCCUUUAAUGUUUGAUGUUCUAACGUGGACCCGUUACCCGGGUUGCGGACAGUGUCUGGUGGGUAGUUUGACUGGGGCGGUCUCCUCCUAAAGAGUAACGGAGGAGCACGAAGGUUGGCUAAUCCUGGUCGGACAUCAGGAGGUUAGUGCAAUGGCAUAAGCCAGCUUGACUGCGAGCGUGACGGCGCGAGCAGGUGCGAAAGCAGGUCAUAGUGAUCCGGUGGUUCUGAAUGGAAGGGCCAUCGCUCAACGGAUAAAAGGUACUCCGGGGAUAACAGGCUGAUACCGCCCAAGAGUUCAUAUCGACGGCGGUGUUUGGCACCUCGAUGUCGGCUCAUCACAUCCUGGGGCUGAAGUAGGUCCCAAGGGUAUGGCUGUUCGCCAUUUAAAGUGGUACGCGAGCUGGGUUUAGAACGUCGUGAGACAGUUCGGUCCCUAUCUGCCGUGGGCGCUGGAGAACUGAGGGGGGCUGCUCCUAGUACGAGAGGACCGGAGUGGACGCAUCACUGGUGUUCGGGUUGUCAUGCCAAUGGCACUGCCCGGUAGCUAAAUGCGGAAGAGAUAAGUGCUGAAAGCAUCUAAGCACGAAACUUGCCCCGAGAUGAGUUCUCCCUGAGACUUAAAGUCUCCUGAAGGAACGUUGAAGACGACGAC
rnacentral:rRNA from 1 species